rnacentral:rRNA from 1 species
GACAGAGGGUGCAAACGUUGUUCGGAAUUACUGGGCGUAAAGCGCGUGUAGGCAGCCCCGCAAGUCGGAUGUGAAAGCCCUGGGCUCAACCUAGGAAGUGCAUUCGAUACUGCGAGGCUUGAGUCCUGGAGAGGAAGGCGGAAUUCUCGGUGUAGAGGUGAAAUUCGUAGAUAUCGAGAGGAACACCGGUGGCGAAGGCGGCCUUCUGGACAGUGACUGACGCUGAGACGCGAAAGCGUGGGGAG